UACGUAGGGUGCAAGCGUUAAUCGGAAUUACUGGGCGUAAAGCGUGCGCAGGCGGUUGUGCAAGACCGAUGUGAAAUCCCCGGGCUUAACCUGGGAAUGGCAUUGGUGACUGCACGGCUAGAGUGUGUCAGAGGGGGGGUAGAAUUCCACGUGUAGCAGUGAAAUGCGUAGAGAUGUGGAGGAAUACCGAUGGCGAAGGCAGCCCCCUGGGAUAACAC
rnacentral:rRNA from 1 species